rnacentral:misc_RNA from 1 species
CGAUGGCUUGACCCUAUUUUCACUAAUUGCAAGUCAAAAAUGGGGCUUUAAAGGGAAAUAGGGAUAAAAAGUGUUGGAAUUGGAGCGAGUGGUGGAGGGUAGUUGGCGUGUGAAGUCACGUGACUUCUAACCUUCCUUUUGCGAUUAUUAAAUAAAAACUGUCAAAGCGACUGCUAUUCAGUACACACACAUUCUGAUUCCAUAUAAUAUCUACUCAACACAUCUUUAUUUUAUAUUAACAUUACGUGAUGUCUACAUUCUAACUCAACUCUACUCUCUCUGCUCAACUCUAGCUAGCUAUCUUUUCCUAUUCAAUAUUUAAUGCUUCGGACUUGCUUCACUUCUCCUCAUGAGCUUCGAUUGUAUUCUUCUGAUGCGAAGCGUCCUCCUAAUAGCUAUCUGCUUUUCUUAGCGGAAUUCAAAUCGCAAUGUGCUGAAACUGGAAUGAAGGGCAUUAGUGCUAAAGCUGGAAGGGCAUGGAGAUCCAUGACUCCAGAGGAAAAGGCUCCCUAUGAAACAGAAUACCAAAGAACCCUUCAAAACUACUUAAGAGAAAAAACUUCAAGAGAACAUGCUCAUUUAUCUCCUAUGGAACUCUCUCAAUUAACCGAAAAACAUACAAAACUCAGGACUCAGAAGGUGAAACUACACUCUCUUCAAAAUGAGCUCAAAAACAUUGAAGAAGCGUCGGGCAGGCCUAAGAACCCCAUGAGCAUUGUAAGUGUUUUUUAUCAAGUUCAGGGAGUACUGUGAAUGAUGGGAUUCAGAAAUGGAAUGGACUUAGCCAGGAAAGACUCUCAGAGUACUAUUUUGAGGCUUCCAUAAUAAAUUCACAGAGGGAAAUAGAUGUUACGAGAUGGAGAAGUAAUACUCACAGGAACAACAGAGAGGUCCUGGAUAUAAUCUCGAAGCUUCGUUUUGAAAUCAAAUAUCUAGAGUCGGAAGUUAAGAAAUUGAAGGGCGAUAUCAGGAAAUUUGAAAAAUCUAUUAUUCCUUCAAACGACUUGUAGACUAAGUUAAUAAAGAAUCCAUGCAAUCAAAUGAUAGCUGCAGCGGAAUUAAAGUUUUUAUUGUCAAACAUCUCGAUGACGUUGUUAGAAACUAGCGCGCCCGCUGCGUUAAGAGCGGACAUUUGAUCCACAGCUACGGUUUUGAGUCCCAUUGUCGUCGUUUUUUGCCUAAGUGAUGCUGCUACCGCUGCUGUUGAAAGUAAAGGAUUGGGAUUUCCUUCCCUAGAAGCAGCCAUAGCAGUCACCAGGGGCAGGGGUUUUAAUGGAAUUGAAGCUAUAUCAGAUAACUUUGACUUGUAUGGAUCCCAUUCCUCUUCUCGACAAUGAGGAGGAGUUACGGGUCGAAAAUGAACACCUGAUUCUAUAAAGUCACUGGGGUUACUA